rnacentral:rRNA from 1 species
AUUGAACGCUGGCGGCAGGCCUAACACAUGCAAGUCGAGCGGAGCGGCGGACGGGUGAGUAAUGCCUAGGAAUCUGCCUGGUAGUGGGGGAUAACGUCCGGAAACGGGCGCUAAUACUGCAUACUAUCAGAUGAGCCUUGGUCUGAUUAGCUAGUUGGUGGGGUAAAGGCCUACCAAGGCGAAGAUCCGUAGCUGGUCUGGGAGGAUGAUCAGUCACCCUGGAACUGAGACACGUUCCAGACUCCUACGGGAGGCAGCAGUGGGGAAUAUUGGGCAAUGGGCGAAAGCCUGAUCCAGCCAUGCCGCGUGUGUGAAGAAGGUCGUCGGGUUGUAAAGCACUUUAAGUUGGGAGGCGUUACCAACAGAAUAAGCACCGGCUAACUUCGUGCCAGCAGCCGCGGUAAUAC